ACAGGCAGAAAAGGGAACUGAGCUUUUGUGAGCUGAGAAAAUGGGUCCUUCACUCCAGGGGAGAUUGAAGUCUCUGGAAACUGAAUAUAGGUACAAGGUACAGAGAGCAAAACCCAUAAAAAGCCUGCAAGCAUAGUGCUUCCUUACACCUCAGCCUUUCCUUGACAGCUUUGUGUUUCAGAUUCAUUGAUGUUUUCCAGAUUUUAAACUCUCCAGGCUGCUCCAACAAGCAGCAUUCUUCCUACUCCCUCCCUCCUCGCCCCGCCAAGUGCUAGUAGCAAAGCAAUGUGCUCAGUAAGGGGCUGAAGAGGCUAUUGCAGCUCUGGACUUCAGUACUUUGGCAGAAUGCUGAAGAGGACAAGUCUCUCUGACUACAGAUAGACUUUCCCAUCAUUAAGAGGCCUUAGAACAAUUACUGCAGAAUUAGACCCAUUAAAUUACCAUUGCCUUUUUUGAUGAGUGUUCUGGGGACAUAGAUAAUGUGUGAGUCCUACUGGCCCCACCCAGUUCAUACCAUCCUGAACCUGAUCUGGUCCUUCCCCAAAGGCGGAUUAUAGAUUGCAUGGAGAGUUAUCUUCAGAGUCUGGGAAAAUGGGGGCUAGAUCUAAGGUACAAACAGAUUUUUUUUCUCCAUGCAGAGGCCCUCUGUGUGCUGGGAAAUAUUGGGGAAUGAUCAAUCAGAGCCCAACAUUUGUUUUACUGCUUUUUGUGAUUUGUUUAUAAUUUUAAAAUGGUAACAUAUUUGUCAUGGAGCAGUAUAAAAUUUGCUACAGAAUUUAGGUACUGAACAAUCCCCAAUCCAUAUUCUUGAAAGUUAAUAUAGAUCAAGUUGUCCACUGGAGUCUAAUACAUGUGAAAAGUCUUAUAUGUGUAUUUAGAUCUUAGGAUCUAGUUAUUCACUGAUAAGUCUCAGAAAUGUCUGCUUUGUAUGAUUUUAGAAAGACAAAGAAAAUCUUGGAUGAAAUUUUAUGAUCUGUAUUAUACAGGAGGUCAGAUUAGAUAAUCUAUUGCUUCUGGCCUAAAAACUCUGAAUCUGGAGGGUAUGGGACACCAGGUUUCUGUCCAGAGACCAUAAACAGAAGUGUGUGUGGGAAGAUCAACUGUGAAAAUUACAACACUUCAGUUGUUGCAGAUAAUUUUAGUAAAAAUGCAGUAAUAAAGUUUAGUAAACUUAAUAGCUUUCAUAAACAUGAAUUUACCUGGGUCAAAGCAUUAGGCAUGGGCAUUCAUUAUGUGCUGCAAGCUCAUAAAAGAUAGCAGGCAUAUGGCACUACUAUUAUUCUCUUGCUAUACAAACUUACAUUCAUAGUAAUAACAUCUGUGCCAAGUUUAGAGUCCAUCAACUUGAGUAAGGUCAAUAUAGUGAUGCAGAUGCAAAGAUCCUUGAUAUUUUGUAAAUCUUAAAUGACAAAUGAAGAAGGUGUAAAAGAAAAAAUCAACUGUAUUCUUGAUUCUGAUGGAAGAUGAGCAGCUUGAGGAGUGAAUGUGGGUGCUCAGAAAAGCUGUGUUAUGAAGAGAAGCAUCAUAGUCUAAUG